AACCUUCCAGCUUUUAUAGUUCCUGAGAUCUCGAUACGGACAGACGGACAUAGCUAGAUCGACUCGUCUUUUGACCCUGAUCAAGAAUAUAUAUACUUUAUAUGGUCGAUAAACGCAUUCUUCUACCUGUUAUAAAGCUUUCAACGGGGUAGCAGGUAUAACAAAUAGUAAUAAUCUGAAAGACUAAAGGAUGCAGUAAAGUAAGUUAAAGUAAACGUUACAUUGUGGGUUUCGGGAAUAUACGUGUGUGUGAAUUAACGAUAUGCAAGAGUGAAAGCGGCUUACGCCGCCUUCUUUGAGUUAAGCCAGCACGUUAGCUUUUAAAAGGAAAGUAGAGAUGCAGUCUUGGUUUAAAUGUGCCUGAUGGACCCUAAUCCGUAAAGGCACACAUUACUGAGAUUCUGAGGCUAAGGGCAGUGUAGAGUGGUUCUGUUUCAAUGCUUCGUGAACUGUCUGAUAAAUUCAACGCUCCUAUUCGCCCGCUAAAUGGAAUGGGCUCAAGGGAACAAAUCGAUGGAUGAAUUAUCGCUCAAGUAUCUAUUCAAAAGCUGGAUCCGGAGAGUCAGGCGAAAUGGGAGGAGCAUUUGGAGGACCAGUCUUCUAGAAACUUCCAACAUGGGAAUCCAUGGCAUCGUUUCUAGAUCAGUGAUGCAGGACGCUGGAGAACUGGAAUUCGCCGUAACAAGCUAAUCUCCAGGCAGCCAGGUGCAAAGUAGCAGAACAUCAGAUUUCUUCAUGCCUCAGCCCUGCGACCUGUGCGUUCUGCAAUGCUCCUUGGCACUCAAUUCAUAAAUGCCAGAGCUUCAAAACCCGGACCCGAGCUAAUAAAUUCAAAGAAGCGAAAAUGCUCACAUUUUGCAUAAAGUGCUUCAAUACCGGUCAUAAAAUUAGGUAGUGCAACUGCAAUAAAAAGUUUUAGAAAA